AACCGUCGGCCGCCAUCUCUGUUCGCGAAGCAAGGCCGCCGCGUGAACCUGUAACCGCCGGCUGUCUCCCCUCUCCUUUCUCCUCUGUUUUCAGCCCAGCCGCCGCCGAUUUCUUCUCCUCCGUCGUCUGCACUGCCGCGCGACUCUCCGGCCAUCUGUAUACGGUCUUUCCGCCGCACGUCAUCUCUUCGCAAAGCCACUGCUCGAUUUCUUUCGCGAAGAUUUGGGUUCGUUCUUCAUAGACUUCAACGUGGUUAAGGAGCUUAACAAAUUUGAAGGCAAAGGAAAUAAAGGUGGCAAACCGGCGAGGGGCAGGAAGGAAGCGUGAU